rnacentral:sRNA from 1 species
GCAGGCCCGCUGCCCGCACCCCUCCUGGUGCUCUGCCCCAGCCGGGCCGAGCUGGACCGCUGGCUUUACCACCUGGAGAAGCAGACGGCCCUCCUCGGGGGGCCACAGCGCUGCCACUCGGCACCCCCACAGGUCAGUGCCAGGGACCCAACGCCCCUCCCCACCCUGAUCCUCGCAGCCUGCUCUGACCUCCUCCUCACAGGGGUCCUGCGGAGACGAGCUCCCCUGGACUCUGCAGCGCCGUCUAACCCGGCUGCGGACGGCGUCUGGGCACGAACCCGGCGGCAGUGCUGUCUGUGCCUCGAGGGUCAAGCUGCAGCACCUGCCCGCACAGGAGCAGUGGGAGCGGCUCUUGGUCCUGUACCCAACGUCCUUGGCCAUUUUCUCCGAGGAGCUGGACGGGCUUUGCUUCAAGGUGGGCCCCUCCCCACUGCAGGCCCGCCCCAGGGAGGCACUUGUGUGGGGGUGGGAGGGGGCGGCCAUGCAGGAGGAACCUGUAUUUCGGGACUUGUUGAGACAGAGCGCAGGGCCCUG